CCUACGGGAGACAGCAGUGGGGAAUAUUGGGCAAUGGGCGCAAGCCUGACCCAGCAACGCCGCGUGAAGGAAGAAGGCUCUCGGGUUUUUAACCUCCUUUCUCAGGGACGAAACAAGUGACGCUAGCUGAGGAAUAAGCAGCGGCUGAAUACGUGCCAGCAGCCGCUGUAGUACGUAGGUGGCCAGCGUUAUCCGGAGUUACUGGGGGUAAAGGGCGUGUAGGGGGGAAAGCAAGUCAGAUGUGAAAACCAUGGGCUCAACCUGUGGCCUGAAUUCGAAACUGUUUGUCUUGAGUACUGGAGAGGCAGACGGAAUGCGUGGUGUAGCGGUGAAAUGCGUAGAUAUCAGGAGGAACACCAGUGGCGAAGGCGGUCUGCUGGACAGCAACUGACGCUGAGGCGCGAAAGCGUGGGGAGCGAACAGGAUUAGAUACCCUAGUAGUC
rnacentral:rRNA from 1 species